CAUGCACACUUCACAAGCCUCUGUUUGAACCCGGCUGUCCUGGAAGCUAUGUACUGGGAGGUGACGGAGAAUGGCACUAACAUCAUGGGAGAAAUCCACAAAAAAUAUCGCUUCGUGGCGUACAGGAUGUUCACCAGGUGGAUAUGGAAGAAGCUUGGGAGGAACAACAGGGUUGUGCUGCCUGCUUGCGUUGUAGCAAGAAUAAGGAACGAGUUCCCAUCGGCAUCUUACGUUGGCUUCCAGUACCCCUCGCUAUGAAUUACGGGGUGGCCCCGAUGAGCUGCUGGCAAGGCUGCUCCGGUGUGCGCUGGCCUCACACUUCAUGAUCACAGCUGUGAUGAGCUCGUCAACAUACCCUACAAGUAAAUAAAUGAACUGUCAUGUCACAGUGUGACUC